GUCAAUCCUUUUACAGGGGAAGUUUUGGAUCUUGAAUCAAAUCUCUGGACUGGCAAUACGCUGUCCUCAGAGCAAGAAUCCUUUGAAGUAAAACUAAGCUCAGUCAAUCUCUGGACUGGCAAAACGCUGUCCUCAGAGCUGGAAUCCUUUGAAGUUAAACCAAGCUCAGGUA
rnacentral:sRNA from 1 species